rnacentral:ribozyme from 1 species
GCCGUCCAAGCAAACAGCCUCCACGCGGCGGACGGUGGGCAACAGAUGUUUCCGUGUUCCGGGCAUCUGGCUAAUGUUUGU